AAUCAACGCUGGCGGCGUGCCUCAGACAUGCAAGUCGAACGCGAAAGUCCCUUCGGGGACGAAGUAGAGUGGCGCACGGGUGAGUAACACGUAGGUAAUCUACCUUCGGAUGGGGAAGUAACAACCGGAAACGGUUAGCUAAUACCGCAUAAUGCAGCGGCACCUAAUGGUGACAGUUGUUAAAGCGGGGGAGUUGAAAGACCUCGCGUCUGAAGAGGAGCCUGCGGCGGAUUAGC
rnacentral:rRNA from 1 species